GAUGAACGCUGGCGGCGUGCCUAAUACAUGCAAGUCGAGCGAACAGACGAGGAGCUUGCUCCUCUGACGUUAGCGGCGGACGGGUGAGUAACACGUGGAUAACCUACCUAUAAGACUGGGAUAACUUCGGGAAACCGGAGCUAAUACCGGAUAAUAUAUUGAACCGCAUGGUUCAAUAGUGAAAGACGGUUUUGCUGUCACUUAUAGAUGGAUCCGCGCCGCAUUAGCUAGUUGGUAAGGUAACGGCUUAACAAGGCAACGAUGCGUAGCCGACCUGAGAGGGUGAUCGGACACACUGGAAAUGAGACACGGUCCAGACUCCUACGGGAGGCAGCAGUAGGGACUCUUACGCAAUGGGCGAGAGCCUGACGGAGCAACGCCGCGUGAGUGAUGAAGGUCUUCGGAUCGUAAAGCUCUGUUAUUAGGGAGGAACAAAUGUGUAAGUAACUAUGCACGUCUUGACGGUACCUAAUCAGAAAGCCACGGCUAACUACGUG
rnacentral:rRNA from 1 species